GAUGAACGCUGGCGGCGUGCCUAAUACAUGCAAGUCGAGCGAACAGACGAGGAGCUUGCUCCUUUGACGUUAGCGGCGGACGGGUGAGUAACACGUGGAUAACCUACCUAUAAGACUGGGAUAACUUCGGGAAACCGGAGCUGAUACCGGAUAACAUGUUGAACCGCAUGGUUCAACAGUGAAAGACGGUCUUGCUGUCCCUUAUAGAUGGAUCCGCGCCGCAUUAGCUAGUUGGUAAGGUAACGGCUUACCAAGGCAACGAUGCGUAGCCGACCUGAGAGGGUGAUCGGCCACACUGGAACUGAGACACGGUCCAGAGUCCUACGGGAGGCAGCAGUAGGGAAUCUUCCGCAAUGGGCGAAAGCCUGACGGAGCAACGCCGAGUGAGUGAAGAAGGUCUUCGGAUCGUAAAACUCUGUUAUUAGGGAAGAACAAAUGUGUAAGUAACUAUGCACGUCUUGACGGUACCUAAUCAGAAAGCCACGGCUAACUACGUG
rnacentral:rRNA from 1 species